rnacentral:rRNA from 1 species
UACGUAGGGAGCAAGCGUUGUCCGGAUUUAUUGGGCGUAAAGAGCUCGUAGGCGGUUCUGUAAGUCGGGUGUGAAAACUCCAGGCUCAACCUGGAGAUGCCACUCGAUACUGCGGUGACUUGAGUCUGGUAGGGGAGCACGGAAUUCCUGGUGUAGCGGUGAAAUGCACAGAUAUCAGGAGGAACACCGGUGGCGAAGGCGGUGCUCUGGGCCAGUACUGACGCUGAGGAGCGAAAGCGUGGGGAGCAAACAGG